CAGCAGCCACGGGAAUACGUAGGGUGCAAGCGUUAAUCGGAAUUACUGGGCGUAAAGCGUGCGCAGGCGGUUUUGUAAGACAGAGGUGAAAUCUCCGGGCUCAACCUGGGAACUGCCUUUGUGACUGCAAGGCUGGAGUGCGGCAGAGGGGGAUGGAAUUCCGCGUGUAGCAGUGAAAUGCGUAGAUAUGCGGAGGAACACCGAUGGCGAAGGCAAUCCCCUGGGCCUGCACUGACGCUCAUGCACGAAAGCGUGGGGAGCAAACAGGAUUAGAUACCCCGGUAGUCCCUGUCUCUUAUAA
rnacentral:rRNA from 1 species